AUCAACUUUCGAUGGUAGGAUAGAGGCCUACCAUGGUGGUAACGGGUAACGGGGUGUUAGGGCACGACACCGGAGAGGGAGCCUGAGAAACGGCUACCACAUCCAAGGAUGGCAGCAGGCGCGCAAAUUACCCAAUCCCGACACGGGGAGGUAGUGACAAUAAAUAACAAUACGGGGUCCUUUCGGGUUUCGUAAUUGGAAUGAGUACAAUUUAAAUCUCUUAACGAGGAACAAUUGGAGGGCAAGUCUGGUGCCAGCAGCCGCGGUAAUUCCAGCUCCAAUAGCGUAUAUUAAAGUUGUUGCAGUUAAAAAGCUCGUAGUUGAAUUUCAGGAUCAGUACGCUGGUCGUGCCUUCGGUAUGUACUGGUGUUACUGGUUCCUACCUUCUGACGAACCGUCAUGUCAUUAAUUUGGUGUGGCGGGAAAUCAGGACUGUUACUUUGAAAAAAUUAGAGUGUUUAAAGCAGGCUCGCGCUUGAAUACAUUAGCAUGGAAUAAUGAAAUAGGACGUUCGAUCCUAUUUUGUUGGUUUCUAGGAUUGACGUAAUGAUUAAUAGGGAUAGUUGGGGGCAUUAGUAUUCAAUUGUCAGAGGUGAAAUUCUUGGAUUUAUUGAAGACUAACUACUGCGAAAGCAUUUGCCAAGGAUGUUUUCAUUAAUCAAGAACGAAAGUUAGGAGAUCGAAGACGAUCAGAUACCGUCGUAGUCUUAACCAUAAACUAUGCCGACUAGGGAUCGGAUGAUGUUAAUUUUUUAAUGACUCAUUCGGCGCCUUACGGGAAACCAAAGUGUUUGGGUUC
rnacentral:rRNA from 1 species